rnacentral:rRNA from 1 species
GGACCCCUACGGGAGGCAGCAGUAGGGAAUCCUCCACAAUGGGCGAAAGCCUGAUGGAGCAACGCCGCGUGGGUGAAGAAGGUCUUCGGAUCGUAAAACCCUGUUGUUAGAGAAGAAAGUGUGUGAGAGUAACUGUUCACGUUUCGACGGUAUCUAACCAGAAAGCCACGGCUAACUACGUGCCAGCAGCCGCGGUAAUACGUAGGUGGCAAGCGUUAUCCGGAUUUAUUGGGCGUAAAGAGAACGCAGGCGGUCUUUUAAGUCUGAUGUGAAAGCCUUCGGCUUAACCGGAGUAGUGCAUUGGG